rnacentral:rRNA from 1 species
UUGUGCCUACGGGAGGCAGCAGUGAGGAAUAUUGGUCAAUGGGCGCAGGCCUGAACCAGCCAAGUCGCGUGAGGGAAGACUGCCCUAUGGGUUGUAAACCUCUUUUAUAAGGGAAGAAUAAUGACUACGUGUAGUCAGAUGCCCGUACCUUAUGAAUAAGCAUCGGCUAACUCCGUGCCAGCAGCCGCGGUAAUACGGAGGAUGCGAGCGUUAUCCGGAUUUAUUGGGUUUAAAGGGUGCGUAGGCGGAACAUUAAGUCAGCGGUAAAAUCGAGGGGCUCAACCCCUUUAAGCCGUUGAAACUGG